GACGAACGCUGGCGGCGUGCUUAACACAUGCAAGUCGAACGGAAAGGCCCUGCUUUUGUGGGUUGCUCGAGUGGCGAACGGGUGAGUAACACGUGAGUAACCUGCACUUGACUUUGGGAUAACUUCAGGAAACUGGGGCUAAUACCGGAUAGGAGCUCCUACUGCAUGGUGGGGGUUGGAAAGUUUCGGCGGUUGGGGAUGGACUCGCGGCUUAUCAGCUUGUUGGUGGGGUAGUGGCUUACCAAGGCUUUGACGGGUAGCCGGCCUGAGAGGGUGACCGGCCACAUUGGGACUGAGAUACGGCCCAGACUCCUACGGGAGGCAGCAGUGGGGAAUAUUGCACAAUGGGCGGAAGCCUGAUGCAGCAACGCCGCGUGCGGGAUGACGGCCUUCGGGGUGUAAACCGCUUUCGCCUGUGACGAAGCGUGAGUGACGGUAAUGGGUAAAGAAGCACCGGCUAACUACGUG
rnacentral:rRNA from 1 species